rnacentral:rRNA from 1 species
CGUGGGUAACCUGCCCAAGAGAUCGGGAUAACACCUGGAAACAGAUGCUAAUACCGGAUAACAACAGAUGAUGCCUAUCAACUGUUUAAAAGAUGGUUCUGCUAUCACUCUUGGAUGGACCUGCGGUGCAUUAGUUAGUUGGUAGGGUAACGGCCUACCAAGGCGAUGAUGCAUAGCCGAGUUGAGAGGCUGAUCGGCCACAUUGGGACUGAGACACGGCCCAAACUCCUACGGGAGGCAGCAGUC